UACGUAGGUGGCAAGCGUUGUCCGGAAUUAUUGGGCGUAAAGCGCGCGCAGGUGGUUUCUUAAGUCUGAUGUGAAAGCCCACGGCUUAACCGUGGAAGUGCAUGGGAAACUGGAAGCUUGAGUACUUAAGAGGAUCGCGGAAUUCCCGGUGUAGAGGUGAAAUUCGUAGAUAUCGGGAGGAACACCAGUGGCGAAGGCGGCGAUCUGGGAAGAUACUGACGCUGAGGUGCGAAAGCGUGGGGAGCAAACAGG
rnacentral:rRNA from 1 species